CCUGGCUUAGGACGAACGCUGGCGGCGUGCUUAACACAUGCAAGUCGAACGAUGACGAUGGUGCUUGCACCGUCUGAUUAGUGGCGAACGGGUGAGUAACACGUGAGUAACCUGCCCUCCUCUUCGGGAUAACCGCCGGAAACGGUGGGCUAAUACCGGAUAUGAAUGUCUGCCGCAUGGUGGGUGCUGGAAAGAUUUAUCGGUGGGGGAGUGGACUCGCGGCCUAUCAGUUUGUUGGUGAGGUAAUGGCUCACCAAGGCGAUGACGGGUAGCCGGCCUGAGAGGGCGACCGGCCACACUGGGACUGAGACACGGCCCGAGACUCCUACGGGAGGCAGCAGUGGGGAAUAUUGCACAAUGGGCGAAAGCCUGAUCGCAGCGACGCCGCGUGGGGGAUGACGGCCUUCGGGUUGUAAACCUCUUUCAGCAGGGAAGAAGCGAGAGUGACGGUACCUGCAGAAGAAGCGCCGGCUAACUACGUGCCAGCCGCCGC
rnacentral:rRNA from 1 species